AAUAAGACGCCGAACUUCACACUGGUCUGACCUUUGUCGUCUGGAAGAAAGUUGGUACAAAAGAUUUUACAGAUCAUCACAAAAUGGAAAGCAGCAAUCAGAGAAUUGGAACUUUUUGGCUUACAAUCAAAACUUCCUGUUUAGUGGAAAACCAAGACUAUGUAUUGUCCUGAACACACCAUAAACAUGGCAAGACAUGGCGGUGGCAGCGGCAUGUUGUGGGAAGUUGAAUGAAGCUGAAUAAAUAAUAAAGGGUAAAAAUGUGUUGGAGGUAAAAGACUUUAGAAUGAGGCAGAAAAAAAGCC